GCGAUGUCCAUCUGUGGGGUGCUUGCCUGGAUCCUGGGGAGCAAAAAAAUCCCAGUACCCAGCAAAUGAGUCAAUCACCUGGGUCCCUGCCCUCUGUUAGUGGUUGUGGGGAAGCCUGGUGGUGGUGACAAACCUCUCUGUCUGGGUAGGCUUCUGCAGCUCAGAGUCUUUUGAGUACAAGGACUGUGGGAAAUCUCAGAUCCCAAAAGCUUCAGACUCUGUGAUUCAGGGUCAAGGAAUCAGAGAUUACUUCCACUCAAAGCCCCCAAGGAGUCUUUGAAUCCAGCUAAGGAAUCUUAACAUGUUAAAAUCUCAGAGUCGAAGGAUUCUGGAAUAAAUGUAUUAAAGACUCUGAGCUGCAAGGCAUCUCAGAGGUCAGGGGUUCCUGUCUGCAGCCCCAGGCAGAAGCCCUCUUCUCAGUAUCCCAAAAAGGCAAGCACCGAGGCACCUCUAAGAAGAGAGAGCUUACCUCCUUCAGAGGCAGCCCCGCAUUCUUUUUUAGGACAGGUCUGAUUAUUAACAAAAGCUUCCAGCCUUGGCAUGGUGUCCAUCUCUUUGGGGUGGCUGUCGUGGUUCUCAUGUGCUUCCUCCUGCCUCAACUGUAUAUUGCUUUUAAAGAUAAAUUCUAGGCUGGGCGCGGUGGCUCAUGCCUGUAAUCCCAGCACUUUGGAAGGCCGAGGUGGGUGGAUCACCUGAGGUCAGCAGUUCAAGAUCAGCGUGGCCAAAAUGGUGAAACCCCA
rnacentral:lncRNA from 10 species